CCCUCUCUCCUUCGGUCACGGGGGUGUCACCCGGCAAGUAAUUGCCCCCAUCGCCAGCCUGUACCUGCCCUGUGUGCGUGUGUAUGCGUGCCAUCUUCCAUCAUCCUUAUAUACACUGUUCCAUAUACUACCAUAUAUAUAUAUAGGACACCUGGCUACCGGUACGAGAGGGACGCUCAGGCCUGACGAGAGGGGGGGUCUGGUGUACCGGGCCCGCGGCUGUCAAGGGGGCCCGGCCUUGCGGAUGACCCAGCGCUUCCAGUCCAUGUGGAAUGAGUGCAUGGUCCCCCAGCAUCUUAAGGAUUCCAACACAGUCCACAUCUACAAAAGAAAGGGAAACCACCAGUCCUGCAAUAACCACAGGGUUAUCUCAUUGCUGUCCAUAGCUGGCAAAAUCAAGGCACGGCUUCCUUCAUUAUCUUUAGAGGAACAUGCUUCCUGAAAGCCAGUGUGGGCGUCGUCUGCUGUUUCAACAAAUCCUGUCCAUCUGACCUCCACCAGUCCCACAAUGUCGCACUGGUACCGUUAACUCAUGGGGACAGCUUUAUGUGAGGGUGGUGUCCAGUCCUAACACUUUAUGGAGUCAGAUAGCCAUUCCCAACAGCUGGGUCAACUGGAGGAAGAUUGUUGUGCCACUCAGUUUGGACACCUGUUUCCAACUACUCGGCUAUCUGCUUCUCAGUAAUUGUAUGCAUACCUCCAACUGGCUUUCAUAUAGAUUCAUCAGACGUCAGGAGAAUGUGGUUCUCUGGAUGGCUAUGUGACUGGCUGAAGAAAGUUAAUCUUUGUUGGUGAACUUGGUUUGGUAAAGCACCACUUAGAAGAUUGAUCAGUUUGAGCACCAGGACAGGAACUGAAGAAGUAUAUGAGUUUGCGUUAUGUGAAAAAAUCAAUAGAAUUUCAACGGAGAUUGCUUGUGUAAUGAGCAGUUAAGACCGGUCUUUUCAUAAUGACAUAUUACAACCGAAUUUAGUUUAUGAACAUUUCAUAUGUU
rnacentral:lncRNA from 1 species